GGCGCCAUAGCCAAGGGGUAAGGCAGAGGUCUGCAAAACCUUUAUCCCCAGUUCGAAUCUGGGUGGCGCCUCCA
rnacentral:tRNA from 1 species